AUCUAAUCCCAUCGCAUUGAUCAGUUCAACAUGUCAUUGUCUAGAUCCCUUUCACUUUCGACUUUUCAUCAUUGUGAUACGAUUAUUAAUUUUGUUGGCUGCAUGUAUAUAAUUUAUAUACGUAUCAUUACUUUAAUGUUUAACUCUGUAAUCAUGAUUAGUAUCCUUCCACAGCUUAUUGUUAUCUUACUACAAGGUCCACAUCAGACAUGUGUAUCGUUCGAAUACCGCUCAUCCUCACACCUUUUGCAUGAUUGAUUGUUUUAAUAAUUUGUAACAAAUUGGUAAAAAAACAAAAUGGCCACGCAAGUCUCCCGUGUCGAUAAGACUACUACGACGUGGAUGAUUUGUUCUUUUUCUUCAGACGACGUGAACUUUUAUUAGACGUUUUAACUAAGAAGCGAUGAUGCGAGUUUAAUUGCCUUUUUGUUUAUAUUUUUGUGAUUGUGAAGGAGUGAAGGACAACACACACAAGCGAUGGUACUUCUGAAUGCUAUAAACAACACAUUGGGAUGGCGGUGAGAUUUUCAAUGAUUCAUAAAAAUAUGUAGAAAAAAGCUGAAAAGGAGAAAGAGAUAUUUUCUCAAAAUGAUUUUUUAGAACUUAAUUUUCUAAAUACCCAUUAUACAAGUGUUUUUUUUACUAAGGGCUUAACUCUUUUGAAAAUAAUCAAACUUAAUUAUAUUGGGUUUCUUAACCAAUGGAACUGCUUUUACGUUUAUGAUAAAACAAGAAGGUACUUUUUUACUCAGGUAUUCAUCAAAACAUGAUUGGUGUUUAUAUGCAGGAUGACGAUAAUAUCGACGACGUAGUAAUAGUAUGUUAGAUUAGAUUGUCGAUAAGCCAACGACAUUAUUGUGCAGUGCCGCUCCCAAAGGUUGAAAUUAAAUGGCUUUUUAUAUAAUACAAAAGUGUUUAAAAUAUUGAGUGUGUUUAAAAUAGUUAAGUAUGUUGGAGAAGAAAAGGAUCGAAACAAGAGUCAAACUUGUUAACUAUUUGAUAAAUUCAUAAAACUAACAUUAUAUAUGAGUAAUAUGGCCUUAGAAUUGGCUAUAUAUAUCUUGUGGCUUGAAGCAAGUGUUAUACUAGCCUUAUUGCAGAGAUGAACGUGUUACUGUGUGUUGAUACUGAUUUUUGUGAACUAAUGAUAAUUCCGUAAAUGGUAUGGUCUUUUAUAUUUAGUUUCUUUAAAAAGGAUUACACACAUUUUUAACAGAUUCUGACAAAAAACGACACAAAGUUGAUCUUAAAAAAGAAAAUGCGCAUGAUUUGCUCUGCUCUCUUUCUUUUCAUUUUCUUCCACAAAAAAUAAUAAUAAUCAGACUUUCGAUUUUUUAUUCGAAUUUUCUCAUCCUGUCGGUUGUGACAUAAACUCUCAUUGUCAAAAUUUUACCAAGUCAUAUGCUUUAUGUGUCUGAACAUACUUAUAUAAGAAUCUGCUUAAGAGUAUAAAUGAUAAAAGGCUCUCUACAUCUUCUGGAUUCGCAAAAAAAAAAAAGAAGAAAAACAAAUUCAGUUUCGCAUAUAAUUCUUGAAUUGCUAUAGAAAUUACAGAUUAUCACAAGAAAAACUGAUGAUCUUCUUUGAUCUUCUUUAACCCCAUACAAUUAUACAAAAUAUCUACAGAGGCCACACUACUCUAUAGCUCUCUUUGAUUCAUGCAUGCACGCUUUGCUUUUCAGCCAGAAUAAAAACACAAUUCGUUAUACUAUUGGAUGCCUAAUAUACUUAAAAUCGUAGUGUAACUAAAAACCCAAAAAAAUAUAAAGAAAUGAAGAAAUAUUUGCAUCACUUUGAUCCAAUCUUCCAAUGAUGAUUGUCACAUAUUCACACUCUCUCAUAUUGCCUCGCUAUUGACAUGCAACGAUGCAUCCUGCAUCAGUUUUUGACUGAUACUAUUAAACCGUUCCCUUGAGUACUGCCUAGAAGCUUUUCUCCAAUCUGUUCCUGUUUUCAUCAUUGUCGCAAAUUCUUCAUAACUUAUUCUUCCAUCCUACAAAAAGAAGAGGUUGAUCAUGUUUAGUUAUUCUUCCAUUAUAGUUUUUUUUUUGUUUCUCGGGCUUUAGGAGACUAUAAAGAUGAGGCUAACCAACCUUAUCGGUAUCAACAUCGCGGAUAAUGGCUUCAACAACCUCUUCACUUGUACCAACUUCAUCAGAUAAAGCUUCCCUUAACUCUUCUAUUUCAAUAUACCCGUUGUUGUCUUGAUCAAAGAAUGCAAACGCUUUCUUGAGAUGCUCGCCAUUGCCCAUUUUCCUUAGAUGCACUGAUAUGGCAAUGAACUCGUCACAGUCCAAGUAUCCAUCUUUAUCAAUAUCUCCCUACAAAAAAGGAAAACACUCCAAGCUCAGUGCACUGCGUAUAUAACUUCAAAGCCUACAUAGUAAAGUAAUGAUAAUAAAAAAAAAACUUACAGCGUCCAUAAGAAUCUGUAAAUCAUCUUGAGGAACAGCAUGGCCAAGUUUUUGCAACCCUAUUUUUAGCUCGUCAAUGUUUAUCUUCCCUCUUUGGUUGGUGUCCAUGAUUUGGAACCCUUCUCUUAUACCAGAAGCUUCUUCAUCUGAUAAAUGCUCAGCAAUAACCCUGAGUGCUCGUUUCUUGAGCUUGUUCAUGACUGUGAACUGCUUCAGCCUUGCCCUUACUGUUUCACCUAAUGACACAUUGGGAGCUGUCUUUGCAUUUUGUAACCACGGAUGAUCUGCGCAAAACGAAGAAAGACUAGUUAAUACUCUUUUAUCUUUCUCAGAUUCCAUAUGACAACUAUGGCCGGUUCUGAGCAUAGUCUAGUGAAACAUUGGCCAUGGUCUCCAAAAUUUUAAGAGAAAAAAAAUAUAUAUAUAUAGACAACAUAAGCAUCAUUAGAUAAAUGUUUAUGGCCUCUAAAAUCUCAAUGCUGGUCGUAAGGACAACAUAAGCAUCACUAGAAACCAUAAAACUAUAUACCUAGCACUUGCUGAGCUGUGAGACGACGUUUUUGGUCAGGAUCAAGCAUUUUCCUGAUAAGGUCUUUUGCGUUUUCAGAAACCUUAGGCCAUGGAUCCCUUCUGAAGUUCAGUUGAGAUCGAAUAAUUGCUAGUGCAACUCCUUGUUCAGUUUCUGAAAAUGUUUAUAAACAAACUUGAUUACUCUUAUGAUCCUUAAAGUCACAUUUUUACUAGAAGAUGUGAAUAUAGACUAACCUGCCCAGAAAGGAGGGACACCACAGAGGAGUAUGUAAAGAAUAACACCUGCACUCCAAAUGUCAACCUCUGGCCCAUAGUUUCGUUUUAGCACCUCAGGAGCCAUGUAGUACGGACUCCCAACGAUCUCGUUGAACCUCUCGCCUGCAAUAGAAAGACAAUGGUGUGAGUUUAAGAUUGUUGCUAUACAUCAAAGGAGUAGUAAAAAGAAAGCAAAAAAGAAAAACAGAACACAAUACCUGGUUUAAAGAAAACAGAGAGACCAAAAUCAAUGGCCUUAAGAGGUGCAGUCUCCUUCUUGUUUGCAAAUAAGAAGUUCUCAGGUUUCAGGUCCCUGUGCAUUACCCCAUGUUUAUGACACACCUGCAGUGAUCACAUGGAAACCCAUUAAUCUCACAUUUUUGAAAAGAAUAAUCCAAAUACACACAUAAAAUCGUCUCCCAGGCAGCAAACAACCAAUGCCGGUCCUGGGAUGACGAUACAAAACAUUCGUCUUGUCCCAAAGUUUAAGUAGUUUGUAUGUAUAGACAGUUCGGCCCCAAACUAAUUAAGAAUAUUGAUCAUUUAGCAUUAGUUCGUAACUAUUUCAAUUCCAUAAAUCGCCCUGCGAACAAUUAGUACCCUUCAAGCAAUGCUACCAUUAACAUUGCAAUAAUGUCCUAACACUAGAACCAGUGAAAAUGGCAGCACGUGAGAGCUCAAACUAUAUACCAAUCACACGCAAUCAUGGCCGCUUCUAGACUUCAAAUCCAAUAACAUAUAGUCAUUUCGAUUCUGCAAACAUAUCAAGAGAAAGAUAAAAAGGCUAAAUCGUGACGAACCUGAACAACUUCCAUGAUGGUCUUAGUGACAACAGCAGCAGCUCUCUCAGUGUAAUGCCCUCUCGCCACAAUCCUAUCAAACAACUCCCCACCUUCACAAAGCUCCAUAACCAAAUGAACAGCAAUCUCAUCCUCAUAAGUCUCCUUCAAAGUAACAACAUUGGGAUGCUCAGGCAUAUGCCUCAUGAUCUCAACUUCUCUCCUAACAUCCUCUAUAUCCACAGCCGUCCUCAGCUUCUUCUUCAGAAUCGACUUACACGCGAAGACCUCUUCGGUCUCUUUGUCGGUGCAUAGGUACGUGACACCGAACUCUCCACGGCCUAGCUCUCUCCCCAGCUUGUAUUUCUGCGAGAUCUCGCGUCCUGUUGGAUCCGUU
rnacentral:lncRNA from 1 species